GAUGAACGCUAGCUACAGGCUUAACACAUGCAAGUCGAGGGGCAGCAUGGUCUUAGCUUGCUAAGGCCGAUGGCGACCGGCGCACGGGUGAGUAACGCGUAUCCAACCUGCCUUACACUCUUGGACAGCCUUCUGAAAGGGAGAUUAAUACAAGAUGUUAUCAUGAGUAAGCAUUUUCGCAUGAUUAAAGGUUUACCGGUGUAAGAUGGGGAUGCGUUCCAUUAGAUAGUAGGCGGGGUAACGGCCCACCUAGUCUUCGAUGGAUAGGGGUUCUGAGAGGAAGGUCCCCCACAUUGGAACUGAGACACGGUCCAAACUCCUACGGGAGGCAGCAGUGAGGAAUAUUGGUCAAUGGACGAGAGUCUGAACCAGCCAAGUAGCGUGAAGGAUGAAGGUUCUAUGGAUUGUAAACUUCUUUUAUACGGGAAUAAACGGAUCCACGUGUGGAUUUUUGCAUGUACCGUAUGAAUAAGGAUCGGCUAACUCCGUGCCAGCAGCCGCGGUAAUACGGAGGAUCCGAGCGUUAUCCGGAUUUAUUGGGUUUAAAGGGAGCGUAGAUGGGUUGUUAAGUCAGUUGUGAAAGUUUGCGGCUCAACCGUAAAAUUGCAAUUGAUACUGGCAGUCUUGAGUACAGUUGAGGUAGGCGGAAUUCGUGGUGUAGCGGUGAAAUGCUUAGAUAUCACGAAGAACUCCGAUUGCGAAGGCAGCUUACUAACCUGUAACUGACAUUGAUGCUCGAAAGUGUGGGUAUCAAACAGGAUUAGAUACCCUGGUAGUCCACACGGUAAACGAAGAAUACUCGCUGUAGGCGAUAUACAGUCUGCGGCCAAGCGAAAGCAUUAAGUAUUCCACCUGGGGAGUACGCCGGCAACGGUGAAACUCAAAGGAAUUGACGGGGGCCCGCACAAGCGGAGGAACAUGUGGUUUAAUUUGAUGAUACGCGAGGAACCUUACCCGGGCGUAAAUUGCAACCGAAUAUGGCGGAAACGCUAUAGCUAGCAAUAGCGGUUGUGAAGGUGCUGCAUGGUUGUCGUCAGCUCGUGCCGUGAGGUGUCGGCUUAAGUGCCAUAACGAGCGCAACCCUCGCCGAUAGUUAUUAACAGGUCAUGCUGAGGACUCUGUCGGGACUGCCAUCGUAAGAUGUGAGGAAGGUGGGGAGGACGUCAAAUCAGCACGGCCCUUACGUCCGGGGCUACACACGUGUUACAAUGGGGGGUACAGAGGGCUGGUACCACGCAAGUGGAUGCCAAUCCCAAAAACCUCUCUCAGUUCGGAUUGAAGUCUGCAACCCGACUUCAUGAAGCUGGAUUCGCUAGUAAUCGCGCAUCAGCCACGGCGCGGUGAAUAAAAUGCCGGGCCUUGCACU
rnacentral:rRNA from 1 species